AGUGAGACAGAACGGCGAGUGCCCGCUCCUUCUUCACCCACCCACACGAGCGACGCCGGAAGCUGCUCUCGAUGUUACAGUUCACGGCGAGGAUGUCCAAGUACUUAAGGAGAUGAACCUGCACAGGAGACUGAAGAGGCAGAGAGGAAGAGAUGAGGAGGCGUUUAUUAGUAGAGAAGGCAAGGGAAGAGAGCAUCUCGAGGAGAGAGUGAUUAACCGCAGAGUGCUACUAGAAAGUCAAGUGUUUUCAAAUCUGAAAAUUAUCCUUGGGAUUGAAAUCUGAAGAACACAGAACAGAAAGAUGGGAUGAUGCUGGACCCUUGGUGAUGUUUUUCAGCCACUGAAUUGGAACCCAUAGGCUACUUGUUCUACCUCCAAACAUAUGAGACAUAUUUCUGUGUUGUUAAA